rnacentral:rRNA from 1 species
CUACGUAGGGGACGAGCGUUGUCCGGAAUUACUGGGCGUAAAGGGCGCGCAGGCGGAUAUUUAAGUCAGCUGUAAAAGGCAUGAGCUCAACUCAUGUAUGCGGUUGAAACUGGGUAUCUAGAGUGCUGGAGAGGUAGGCGGAAUUCCCGGUGUAGCGGUGAAAUGCGUAGAUAUCGGGAAGAACACCAGUGGCGAAGGCGGCUUACUGGCCAGCAACUGACGCUGAGGCGCGAAAGCCAGGGGAGCGAACGGGAUUAGAUACCCCGGUAGUCCUGGCCGUAAGCGAUGAAUGCUAGGUGUGGGUGUCGAGAGGCAUCCGUGCCGGAGUUAACGCGAUAAGCAGUCCGCCUGGGGAGUACGAGCGCAAGAUUGAAACUCAAA